GCGGGGGAGGACAGCGGCGCGCAGCACGGCGCCGCGCACGCGCACGCCGCGCACGGGCACCUGCUCGCGCGGGACGACGCCUCGCUCUACGGGGACGACGACGACACCGAAUUGGAACUGAGCGAUGAAGGCGAACCCGACUGGCGAGAGAAUCACAGAUGUUCCGGCGACGAGACGCACACACAGGUAUCGCCGAUCGCACACACGAACACGAUAUACACACACAUUGAUUAGUAUUGUACCCACUUCUAUAUUAUAUAAGUAAAUUAUAUUUUUGUAAAUUAAUAAUGUUCAUUAAUGACGUUCGAAUUGAAUAAUCGCACUUUCGUUACACUUAACACAAAUUUUAGCAUUUUUAAUAAUUGUUAUUUGUUAAUUUAAAAAUUUAAAUUUUAUUCGUGCAUGCGGUAUACCGACGACAUUGUACGGUGCCAUUUUUGAGUUACGCUUAAUAUAAUAUGAUCGUUUUAUCGUAUUGUAAUACAUCGCAGCCGCCGACACUGCGGGGGCAAGUGUCUCGUAUCGACUUAUGUAUGCUUUAUUAAUAUGUUUUGCAUUGAAUUGGAUGGUGAAGUCCACCGCUAGUGUGCAGUGUGCAGUGUGCAGUGUGCAGUGUGCAGUGCGCAUGCGGCGGGCGGCUCUGUGUACUUGUUGCCAAUAAACUAUUCUACCGUA